UACGUAGGUGGCAAGCGUUGUCCGGAUUUAUUGGGUUUAAGGGGUGCGUAGGCGGCUUUGUAAGUCAGUGGUGAAAUAUGGCAGCUCAACUGUCAAGGUGCCAUUGAUACUGCGGAGCUUGAGUACAGAUGAGGUAGGCGGAAUUGACGGUGUAGCGGUGAAAUGCUUAGAUAUCGUCAAGAACACCUAUAGCGAAGGCAGCUUACUAGGCUGUAACUGACGCUGAGGCACGAAAGUGUGGGGAUCAAACAGG
rnacentral:rRNA from 1 species